rnacentral:misc_RNA from 1 species
UGGUUUUCUGUGAAUUACCUCAAUUCUGAAAAAAAAAAAGCAAGCAGGCUUGAACAAUGUGUGGUCAGAUAAAGAAGUUUUGCCCACAAGGGUUACACAGUUACAUUAGUUCUGCAGAACAAUUUACAGGAUCGUAAUGAAAAUAAAGAAUGAAAACGUAUGAAAUUAUUCAUGUCUAUUUUUGUACACAUGCUGGAGACUCUGAUCAGGGAACUUUUUCCACAAACAACCAGAAUGUUCUUGGCUUGCACCAACCCCCUCAGCACACUCUCAUUCCGUCAGUGAAAUAAAAAA